AAACUAAAGUUAUACAAAACCAUUGACACUAAAGGAGAACUCAAAUAUGGAUGUUGCAUUCUGCCGGAUGGUAGAAUGGCGUUUACUUUCUACUAUGAUCAUACAGUGAACGUAUUCAGCGACAAAGGAUUAAAAGACUUUGAGGUGAAGUUGCCCAAUAUACCUUUUGAUAUAGUAUACAUAAGUGAGGACAAUACAUUAGCUGUUACAACUGGUAGAUCAAAGUGUAUUACCAUUAUAGACGUGGAGAGGAAACAAAUCAAGAAAACCAUUUCACUUGAUUCUAACAGUUAUGGCAUAGCACUUAAAGAUAAUCGAUUGAUUUAUUACGGUGGAAACAAAGGUAUACGAAUGAUCAAUCUCAACGACGAAUCUACAAGUGACAUAGUUCGGGACAAAAUGUCAUCUAACUGUUACAUUGCAACUUUUAAGGACAAAUUAUAUCAUACAAACAGAGAAACACACACAGUUACGUGUUAUAAUCUACAGGGUAAACAGCAAUGGACAUUCCAAAAUAAAAGCAUUCUGAAGGGUCCUAUGGGUAUCGAUGUUGAUA
rnacentral:lncRNA from 1 species